UAGGGAAUCUUCGGCAAUGGGGGGAACCCUGACCGAGCAACGCCGCGUGAGUGAAGAAGGUUUUCGGAUCGUAAAGCUCUGUUGUUAAGGAAGAACGAGUGUGAGAAUGUAAAGUUCAUACUGUGACGGUACUUAACCAGAAAGGGACGGCUAACUACGUGCCAGCAGCCGCGGUAAUACGUAGGUCCCGAGCGUUGUCCGGAUUUAUUGGGCGUAAAGCGAGCGCAGGCGGUUAGAUAAGUCUGAAGUUAAAGGCAGUGGCUCAACCAUUGUAGGCUUUGGAAACUGUUUAACUUGAGUGCAGAAGGGGAGAGUGGAAUUCCAUGUGUAGCGGUGAAAUGCGUAGAUAUAUGGAGGAACACCGGUGGCGAAAGCGGCUCUCUGGUCUGUAACUGACGCGGAGGCUCGAAAGCGUGGGGAGCGAACAGG
rnacentral:rRNA from 1 species